rnacentral:rRNA from 1 species
AUGUAUUUUAGUUCUAGAUACAUUCAUUUUUAUGCAUUUCUUCGACAAGUAUUUUCGGACGGAGGGAGUACAAAGUUCGGCACGUACAAUCUUUUUUGCUGUUUCAUAAACUACCCUCCCACCUCAUCCACUCUCUCGCUCACUCACGCACUCGCUAUCUCGCUCAGCCGAAUCCCUAGUUCGCGUCGUCGGCACCUCUCCCUAGCUCACGUCGCCGGCGCCUCUCCUAGCUCGCGUCCUCGGCGCCUCUCCCUCGCCUGUGUCGCCGCUGCCUCUCCCUCGCCCGCGCCGCCGCCACCGUCGCAAAGAUCUCAUUUUUAUUCUCCGGCGGCUGAUCCCGAGUGCGGAGGCUCGUUCUGCAAUGGCCUUCCUCCACUCCAACGCCCUUCGGUGCAGAUCUCCGAGCUUUACCGGCGCCACUCCGAACUCGUCCCUGAUGCGCAGUCCUCCUCUUCAUGUUGUCUCUUCUUCCUCCAACUCUUACAUGGAGCAGAGCAGAUGCCCUCAUCAACCUGCCUGCAGCCAGCCGUGCGGCCGCAGCAGAUUGACGAGGAGGACUGA